AAAAUGUUACUUAAUGAAUUUUUUAAACAAAUGUUCUCAGGCAACUGAGUAUGGAAAAAAUGAUGUCCUACCCUUACCUCACAUCCUAUACAAAAAUUAAAUUAAAAUGACUUAUAUACAUAAAGCUUAACCUCAAACAUAUCCAACUCGUGGAAGAAAAGAAGAAAAUAAGUCUGCACAUGUUUGAUAUAGGCAAAGCUUUUUCAGAAGGGAUCAGAAAAGCAUGAGUCAUUACAAAAAAGGAUUCACUGGAUUUCAUAAAAUAUUAAAACGAGGAGGCUGAGGCAGGAGAAUUGCCUGAGCCCAGGAGGCGGAGAUUGCGGUGAGCCGAGAUCGCGCCAUUGCACUCCAGCCUGGGUAACAAGAGCGAAACUCCGUCUCUAAAUAAAUAAAUAAACCGUUUGUUGUUUGAAAGACGUUGUCAAGAAAAUGAGAAGACAAGACAUAGACUUAAAAAGAAAAGUAAUAUAUUGUAUAUGCACACAUAUUCGUUAUACAUGCACAUAUGACAAAGGACUGGUAUCGAGACUAGAAAACACAUUUUAGAACUCAGUGAUACAAACACUCAGUAAAGAUAAGGGCAAAAAGCUGGAGCAGGCAUUUCACAAAAUAAGAUGCUUAUGUGGCCAAUAGGCACAUUAAAAGAUGUUCAGCAACAUUGAUCAGUACAAAAAUGCAAAUUAAAUCCAUCAAGCAUUAAUAGGCAACAGCAGAUCUCAUUCCCCUAGGUGGAGUAACACAGACAUUAAUGAUAAGUCAUUUGAAGGAUCAACCGAUGAAAAGAUGAAAUCGAGUUUAUUUCCAGGUUUGUGUUAUUAAGAAGUGAUGCAUUCAACAGAGCAUUGGAGGACUCCGACUGAGAUUGAAAAAGCAGAGGAUGGUCACUGCCUUCCAGGUCUGAGGCUGUCUCCCAGGAGCUUCACUCCCGGCUUCAUCCUGGCAGGGAAGUUUGCAGAGGUGUUUGAAAAACCUGAAAACUAAAGUGGGACAUGGAACAAUAUUUGUGUGCCGGUUAUAAAAACAGGUAGAAAGGAUAAGUAUGCUGUGGGGGGAUUAGCUCAAGUGGUAGAGUGCAUGCUUGGCAUGCAAGAGGUAGCAGGAUCGAUGCCUGCAUUCUCCAGCCUCUUUUAAUCACGAGGCUGUACCCACCGCUAUUUACUGAACUCAGUGUCGUCCUCAUCUGUACAUUGUUUUAAAGGAAACGAUAUAUAGUAUUACAUGCAACAGCAAAAAAGGAAAAGAUUCGUGAAAAAUGAGUUUUGCCAAUACAGGUUUUGGGCCUUCAGCUCCAAGUUAAUUAAAUGUAUUUUUGUGGAAAACCAAACUUUAGCCUUUUGGGUCCAAAAUAUGAGAAACAGCCUGGAAAGAGUGCCCAGAGGCAAAAGCAGGAGACUUGAAUGUGCCCAGCUUUAGCUUUUAUUCACACUGACAACACAUGGUCAGGUAGAGGAGGAAAACCUCUCUUCUGUCAGACUAUCUGAGCAUCGGCCAGGUAUUAAGAAGAGAGACGAGCAGGAGAGAGGUAAGGAAGGAGUGUCAGUGAAGGUUGGAGUUAGCACAUGAACUCUGGUGCUCAGAUGCACUCUCACUAACAAAGGAGACACUCAGUCUUUCUGUCCAGGUCUCUGAAGGCUCAUCCUGACAAAAAGGUGCUCGAAAUAAAUUGAGACCUAGGUCUUCCUUUAAUUUCCGAGAUGAACCAAAUUGUAAAAAAAAAAAGUAUUUUUGAAAUUGCAACACUAUCCCCCAUUUAAAGAAGCUACAAGAGGUUCUGUAUUAACAACACAUAGGUUGACUUUAGCUCAGCUGGCCAAAGCAGAGCUCAAAAUGCUGAAGAGAGUGGUCACUGUGUAGGUGACUUCUGGAAGCUCUUGCAGGUCCCUGGGACGUGCCCCUCUUUCCAUCCUUCUUUCUUUCCCAUCACUCAGAUCUUGCUCUGACCCACUUGACUUCCCAGCAUUGCCCUUUGUUGAUCAUAAUAGAACAAUAAUGUUAUUGGUUACAUGCUUUUCUCUUUUAUUUUCUUAUUCAUAAAUGAACUCAAAAAACGAACGUUGUAAACAAUAAAACAUGUUCUUGAAUUUUUGUCGCACAUUAGCACCCUCUUCCAUCGUUAGGAGGUGCACUCGUAAUAAAUUGGGACCAUGAAGGAGAGACCUGAAGCUGCCCCAAACCACCUGCAGUUCUGUGAAGGCCAUGUCUGCACCUACCAAUCACUCUGAAGGUCAUGCCCCUCCGCACUUCCACAGCCACCUUUCCUUUCCAGGCAAAAGCGUUUCUAUGGGUUUCUUAGACCCUGGCUUCUAAUCCUCUGUUCAGUCUCUAGUGAUCUGAAGCCAAUGUCUCCUUUGAGGCUUCUAAUUUAUCUGUGUAGCCUUUCUCCAUCCGCAAGUUUUCAUCAGGCAAAGUCCUACUCGAGGCUAGUUGUACUCAGAGAAAAAUGACUAUGUUCCUUUCUUAAAUGAGAAUUCUUCAUAGGUGGAAAACAGAUUUGAAAUCCACUGGGGCUCCAGACGGUGGAGCUAAUGUAGCCUUCCCUGGGCUGCAGGAAGAGUCCUCUUCUGUGGGCCUGGGAAUUGAGGAACUAGACAGACAUAAGAAGGACAAGCGUGGUACCCAAUGGAGCAAGAGAAAGGUGGGGGAAGGUGACAGGGAAGGGGAUGGUGAGAGAAGCCCCUGAAGAGCAGACACUGUGUAGCCUGCAUCUGUUGUUCCUUUUGACCGAGAGAUCCUCGAGCUCUGUGGUGACAACUUUCCAUAAUUUUCCAUGCAACAAACUGAAGACGAUAAACUCUUUCUAGGCAUCUUACCUGCAUUAAUAUGAGUAUGUGUACAGCAUCUAACCCAGGGCCUAGGCGACAGCAAUUGCACAGUGUUCUACUUGUUCCUGUUGUGGCAGCUUCUACAUGGAUCAUUGGCCUCAUCCACUGUGCCUGGUGCUCAAGAAGUGCCUCAGGAAUGAAUCCACAGAUUGAGAUGGAAUUGUCAAGCUUUCUCUUUCUCAGCUCCUCCAAGGUUCUCCAUCAUUUUCCGAGUCCUACAGGAGGAACGUGCUGCUGAAGAUAUGCCACGUAUAUGGAGUGGAGCUCUGGGGCUCUGGCGCUCUGGGGCUGGGAGAAGCGGCCCCGCCACUUCCGGGCUGCCCUGCCUGCAAGGAGCAGGUGGCGAUCACAAUCUAGGGCAGGCUGGAAUCGCUGUGCCCGCCAGCCAGGCAGGUCCGGGCGCUACUUCUCCAUCUGGAACGUGCGCUCUACUUCGAGAGAGGAACGAGGCGAAAUUGGGAAGUGGGGAGAGAGAGGUCUCCCUCGUGACCUGCUUUGGAAAUCCCUGUUCUUCACACUCCGAGCUCAUAGAGCUUUGCUCCUGGCGAUAUUUAAGAAGCUCCGCCCUCCAUCGUGUCCUGCUAAAGGUUUGGGGACCCAGAUUCCCGGUAGGCUCCUUAUAGUCAGGAAAACGGGUGAGGCGCACCGUAUUGACGGCGGGGAAUUAGCUCAAGUGGUAGAGCGCUCGCUUAGCAUGCGAGAGGUAGUGGGAUCGACGCCCGCAUUCUCCAGCUUCCCGUCAGGCUUAAGCCUCUCGGUUUGUAGGUUUCAUUCUUUCUCUUAUUGGGGAGAUGAUCAAAGGAACUCCCUGGAGGCCGUUCCUUACAGCUCCCCAGUCAGAGUCUUACUGCGCUGCUUACAGCCUCCCUUCUUUUCCACUCCUGCCUUCUAAGGAACUUAUAAGGCACUCAGGUCUCAAUGCAAAUUUCCCGUCUUUAGACAAGUACAGCUCAAAGUGAUGCCCACACGAUCUUCGCUUCCUACUAUGUCUUCACGACCCCUCCUCCCGCAGGUGUGUCUCUAAGUUAUUGGGUUGUUUUUCUCUCCCCUAGAAUGGGAGCUUCCUGAGUAAGGAAACAGCGUCUGUGUAGACUGCGUUCAACUGACCUGAUCCCCACGCGUAGAGUUAAGGUUCUAUAAAAUACGGUUACUGCCUGGAACAGACGAGGGACAUGGAUGAAUCUGGAGAACAUCAUCCUCAGCAAACUGACACAGGAACAGAAAAUGAAACACCGCAUAUUCUCACUCAUAGGCGGGUGAUGAAAAAUGAGAACACAUGGACACAGAAAGGGGAGUACUAAA